CAGAGCCUGACGUGGGGCUCGAUCUCACAAACCGUAAGAUCAUGACCUGAUCUGAAGUCAAGAAUCAAACACUUAACCAUCUGAGCCACCCAGGAGCCCCUAAUCUUGUUUUAUUCUAUUCUAAACCUGAGUGCGCUCUCCUGCAAGGUCUACAGACUCAGACCCUUGGGAUAAGCAGAAAAUCUCAAGAUGACACAUAAAAUGUCUAAUCCAGGGGCCUUACGCAGCCUUUUAAUGUCAGGCUUAGUUGCUUUGCAUGCUUAUAAGGAAGAAAGGUAUCUAAGAUAAGGAAACCUCGAAAAAUAAGCAGCAACUUCUUCCAGUUUCACUUGUUCUUGGGAUUACUGUGCUGCAACUUAUAUUUUCCAUCCAUUGACAUUAAAAAAGGAAAGAAAUGUGUGUGUACAUGUAUAUGUUUGAGUGGAGGUGUAGAGUGGGAGGGGAUAUUGGUUUCUAAGAUAAGGUUUCCAGAGUUAAGAGAGAUACAGGAUGCCCAUUAAGUUUGAAUUUCAAAUAAACAACAAAUACUUUUUUUUUAGUAUGCCCAUAUGAUACUUGGGGCAUAUUCGUAUUAAAAAAUUAUUCAUUGUUUAACCAAAACUCAAAUUUAAUUAGCUAUUCUGUAUUUUAUCUCACAGCUGUACUCAGAGGUAAUUCGGGUUUUUCUUUCUGGUUAACAGCCUGGCCUGAGUACCUGGGUACCAGGAGGCCUGAGCACUAAGUGGCUCUGUCACUAACUAGUUCUGUAUUAUUGGGCAAAAUCACUUACUUGGGCCUCAGUUUCCUCAUCUCUAAAGUAAGGAGGUGGUAGUAGCCAGUCUCUGAAAUUCCUCUCAGCUUUUAAACUCUCUGAUUCGUUGAUAAUAUGAAUGUUAGAUAUUAUAUCCCAAUUUAAUUGGAAACAGAAAAUGGUAAUCUGAACAUUGCCUCUUCAGCAAAUCCAAGUAAAUAUCAGGGCAGGGCAGUUGGAAAAAAAAAAAAAUGAGAGAAACCAAACGCAAUGCUAUUGGCUUUGGAAUAAAAACAAAUCAAAAUUUAAUCCUAAUGAAAAAUGUAAAUUAAUACCAGUUACAGGCUUAAUAUUUAAAAUCUAGUUUUGUGUGUCUGAGAAGAAGGGAGGGGUAGGUGAAGAGGUGGGUGUUGCCAAAAUCUGGUUUAUUCCUUUUACUUGCACUUGGUGGGGGGGGGGGGGGUGGAAAGGUCUAAAUUUUUGGGCCUCUGCCACCAAACCACAGGCAGUUCUCUGGUCCGCACUGCAGUUUGGAUGACUGACAAGGCUCAGUGAAAAACAAGUGCUAUUUGUUUUCCUGUGCCCAGUAUUUAACUGGAAAUCAGAAGGCAAAAUUUCCAAUCAGUUGUUAAAUAGCCCCAGAUGUGUGCUUAGCUCCACUCUAGGAAGGGACGUGCACAGCCUAAACCACAGCGCAUGUCCAGGCCUUCCUUUUCUUAACUCCAAGUGAUGUGUAACUGAGAGUUGUAGUAUCCAAAAAUGCCCUUUGAAUAACUCAGGCAUUCAAGUUUGGUUGUGAAGGAGGGAACUUAAAAAAAAAAAAAAAAGGAAAAUCCCUGUAUUCUCCACUAUGUUGCAUUUAAAAAUCUGGAAAUGAUUUUUUUUUUUUUUCUAAAUUCCUCCUUUCCCUUGCUUGGCACUUCUCCCCACGCUUAGAAAAACAUUAGAUUAGCAUACCUGCUAUGACGGUUUCUGUAUCCACUUGUUCAUUCAUCCAACAACCAGUUUUGAGUGCCUACAGGAUGCUGGGGACUGUGCUAGGUAUGGAGGGUUCCAGAGAGAAAUGGAAUGGACUACCUGCCUUCCAGGAGCUACCCAUUACAUAGGAGAGAUGGUUAAGAGAUUGGGAAUUGCAUUUCAAAAUUUUAAACAUGUUUUUAUUUAUUUUUGAGAGAGGGAGAGCGUGAGCAGGGGAGGGCAGAGAGAGAGGGAGACGCAGAAUCUGAAGCAGGCUCCCGUCUCUGAGCUGUCAGCUCAGAGCCCGAUGUGGGGCUUGAACCCAUGAACCACGAGAUCUGACUUGAGCCAAAGUUGAACGCCUGAUAGAUUGAGCCACCCAGACACCCCAGGAGUUGCAUUUCAGUGUAAAAUGUACCAUUGUUGGAGGAGCACCUGGGUGGCUUGGUUAAGCUUCUGACUUCGGCUCAGGUCAUGAUCUCACAGUUCUUGAGUUCUAGCCCCACGUCGGGCUCUGUGAUCACAGUUGAGCCUAGAGCCUGCUUUGGAUUCUCCCUCUCUCUGCCCAUCCCCUGCUCUGUCUCUCUGUCUCUCUGUCUCUCUCUCAAAAAGAAACAUUAAAAAAAUAAAAAAUAAAAAAAAAAAAGAAGUACCAUUGUUGGAUCCUGAAAAUUGGAGAAAAUGAGAGUUCUCUUCUUCCAAAUGCAAUGAAGGCAGCUCCCUCUGUGAGGCUGACGGAGGAGCAGUGUGGGUCGGGGUUGAGGACACAAGAAUAGGUUUUUGCUCAACCAGGAAUGUCACUCCUGUGUACUAGGAGUGUAUAGACUAGGGCUCUAGAUAUACCAUUUUGGAUUUUCCAGUUAGGCUUUCCCCUAAACAAAUUCUCUCUCAAAGACAGAUUAAAUAACUAAACAUUUCAAGAUUGGUUCUUCUUCUUUUUAAAAAAUGUCUCUUGUGGAAUGACUCACUAUGCCCUUUGGGAUAUUCCGAGUGGUUGUGUACCAUGCAUUUUUGUUCCAGAGGCUGCUUAUCUGUUGGUUUUGUGGCUUGUCCAUAAGAGCCCUAAUUGUAAGGGGCUUGAUCCUCUCAUGAACUAGGGUCAGUCAACUACCAUAUUUCCUAGGAAUGAGUUUCUGGCCCAUUUGUGGUCAAGAGAGCUCUUCCUAAAUGUCACUGUGGCAAUUAGAGCAUUGGAAUGAGUCCAGUUUCAGUUGGUAAUCCUGGUCCAGAAAGAGUUUUUUGGAAGACUUCCUAGGAUUAUCUUAACUUGCUGGGUUAAGGCUUGUGAAUGUUGCCAGUGAGUGGCCCCUUGGCCUUGUGAGGUUUGCCUGGGUGUAUUCUUCCUGCUCGAGACAUCCUGUCCUGGAGGGUUCACGCAAGCGUAGACUUUUCCUGGCUCCACUGGACUUUCUGUGUCAUGUCUGUGUGCAGGCCUGGGCUCCAGCUCUGUGAAGGCUUUGCUUUCACUCAACAAAUUGAGGUUAAAUAAACUCUAUUUUACCAAGGAGAGAAGGCAGGUUUCUUCGUGUAGAGUCCCAUUCCUUCCUUUAAGGCUUUGCUGUCUAAGGCUACUCUGGCAACCUGAUGGAUCUGCCCUUCCCAAGCUUUGGGCAAUUGUAUCAAACAUCAUAUGUCUGGUGCCCUUGGUUAAUGUGGUAGGCAGCGCAAGGGGCUGUUUGGUAGAAAAAGUGAGUGUUUUGUUAAGGGAGGUUGUGGAAUAUUUUUUCGUGUAAUAGGAGGGGGAGAAACUUAUCUCCUCGGAGAUUCUGGUGAGGUCAGCUUGAAAGCUUGUGGCUGUGCCAUGGUCCUCUCACUGCAGACAGUGAGGCCCUUGGUAAGCAUUCCCCACAGGUGGCCUGCAGUCCCCAUCUCUAAUGGGGACUGCAUGAUGGCCUGACUCCUUCCUGGGAAUGGAGUCAUUGGACUUAUUUGAGGCAGCCCAGCGCCGACACUCUAAACCUCCAUCAUCCAAACCCCUAGCUUGGAAGUGGAUUUCUGCAGAGGAGGAAGGGGUCCCUUUAGCCUUUCUUGUUUCUUUGUCCAAGGUAGAAUUUAUAUCCCGAGAACAGUUUUUGCCCUUGGUUUUUGUCUUUGGUGCUAAUACCCUAUUCUCAGAUGGCCUCUUAAUGCCACCAGGCCAGGGAGUCCUCCUUACUCUCCUGCCUUGUCCUGUUUCGGUGGUGAAUGACACAACUGUGAUCUUGGGACCCAGGGUAUACCUGAAAGUCAGGGUAUAUAGCCAUCUGCCACCUCUGCCAAAAGCCCACAAAAGCUCAUUUGAUCUCUAGCCAUUCUGUGUUUAUGACAUAGUCUGUUCUGGAGAUUCUAUAGUUUCUGGCUGAUACAGGCCGCUGGGUGAUGUUCAGAGCUACUGUUUGGAGCCAGCAGUGCUCCAGCCCUUGAAAACAGGGUUCAUAUAUCCUUUUCUGGAAGUUCAGACAAGAAGGCUACAGUCCAGGCAUAGUGAGGAAUGAAUUAUGGCCUGUCAACCUUAUGAUCUGUCAGACAACCCUUGUGGCCUAUUGUGAGGCUAUGUAUACACGUAUGUGUACAUUUGACAAACACUUAGUGCAUGAGCCAUGUGCUAGGCACUCUUCCAAGUACUUCACAUAUAUUACCUUAUUUAAUCUUCAUAACAAGCCUGUAAAGUAGGUACAAUUAUUAUCCUCAUUUUAACAUGAGGAAAUCGUUUCCACAAAGGGAGAUUAAGUUAAUUUGUGCCUGAUCACACAGCUAGUAAAUAAAUGGCAUCUAUAACCCAUGUAUAGUGCUUAGAAUAGUGCCAGGCACAUAGUAAGUGCUUGAUAAAUGUUAGCAAUAAUAAUAAGUAUUUUUUAAUGAUAAGGAUUAGUAGUUUGGGUUAGCUUUUUCCCUACUUUCUCCCUUUUAUCUCCUAUCUUGGACUUUGAUCCGGGGUUUGAAUGGGAGCAAAUCGGUGUAGCCAGGGAUAUUGGAAUUUAAUUGUCCACUGUCGUCUGGCCCAGGGCUUUCCUUUUGCAGAGGGAAGGUAUUUAGGUUGAACGAUUUCCCCUGAGAUCUAGAUGCAGGACAUUGCCCUGAUCACAACCAACUACAUAUAACAAUAGUUUUCCUAGAUACCGUGUGAAGCUUUUGAACUAGUGUCAGCCAUUGCCCUCCCGCUGACUGGAGGUUAGUCACUGAGGCUGCCACCUUAAAAAUAGCAUUCCAAAAGCGAUUAACCCCCCCUCAACCCCCUGGUGUUUUGAGCUGUUUUUUUCUCCAGUUGUUUUCCCCUUUGCUUAGAGCCCCUGCCAUCAUCCCUCAGUCACAGAUAGUGCAAAGAAGGUAGCUGGAUGGCCUCCUGAGGGACGUACAUAAUCUAAGUGCCCCUUACUUUUUAGAAAGGUAAAUGGAGACCUCACUGGGGACAGUCACACCACUUGAUUCAAGGGUGUGACUUUGAUGUCCUCUGUAACCCUGGUCUCCAGCCUGGAACCACUAAUGACUGUCCCAGCGACAAGGGCUUCAGAAUUGAACCUGAAGAGCCAAAUCAGGGUAUCGCUCACCAGAUCCAGUGAGGAGCUGGCGUGAAAUUGCCUCUGUGGUUUCAUUUCAGCAGAGUGUGUUGUGAAUGGCUUGCUACAGUACUGGGAUCUAGGUAAUGCCAGUAUUUCAGUUGGGUGUGGGUGUUAAAAUUGCUUCUUGAUCCUUUUUCCAACAACAUUGUCCCCCAGUCUCCUCUGGUUAGCUUGUCUCUGAAUAGGCUUUACCAGAAUACCCUGCAUAGCUCUCUGUCUUUCACCCUCUAGGAUCAUUUAUUUCUUCAUCCGGGGUGGCCUGGAAAAUGGAGGUAAGUGUAGAAACAUGGCCUGCCUUUGGUUGAGAGCUAAUGUUAGGAAGGUCAAGAGGGCUCCAGCCAUUCUUGGGGCUGAAGGCCCUACCUCCAUCAUGCACCCCUGAAGGAAAUAUCCUUUACAACCUUUUUUUCCUAAACUGUUCUUAGGUCUGGGGUUGCUAGGCCAGAAUAUGCAGCUCCAUUUCUCUUCAAGCCUUCAUCAGCCAUUCACAGAAGCUGUAACAGUCAGUGGUUAUCCAAAGAAAGAGAACCAGUAGGGGAUAUAUAUAAAGAGAUUUCUUGCAAGGAAUUGGUUUAUGCCGUGUGGAGACAGACAAGGCAUGGCAGAAAUCUGCAGAUUGGUGAUCAGGAAGGAGGGCUGGAACUCUCCAGCCUGAGUGGAAGCUGCUGUCCACAGGUGGGAUUUCUUCUCAGGGAAGCCUCAGCCCUGCUCUUAAAUCCUUCAACUGAUUGAAUCAGGCCCACCCAGAUUAUCUAAGAUAAUUGCCCUUAUUUAUUUAUCUGAUUAUGGCUGUGAAUCACACUUACAAAAUACCUUCACAGCAACAUCUAGAUUAGAGUUUGAUUGAAUAAUAGGAUAUAAUAGGAAUAAUAAUAGCCAAACCAAGUUGACAUAUAAAACUGACCAUCACAGGGAGCAUUUAUAUCUUAAAUUUAUACACCCUGAUAAUUCUUGCCAACCUAGGUCUACCAUAAUUUCUCUUCAAAUGAUUUCAGGUCCUUUGGCAGCUUUUGUUGUUUACUAUACCCAAUCUUUCUUCUUCCCAACAAGUAAUUACUUUGUUCCCAUAACAGUCAUCACUAUUUCUGUCUGCCCCUUCCAUUUCCAUUUUCUCUCCCCUACUUUUUCCAGCUGAACUCCUUAGAGUGCUGGGGAAGGGGGAGAAAGAGAAGGAAAUAACCAAACGGAACGGGGGAAUCUCUAUGCAAACAUCAGGAAAGGACAUAGUCCCCUGCUUUGCCUUACUGCUUUCCCUUUUCACUCUCUUAAAAGCCUGGAUUUGUAUUGCAUAGUUUUUGGAGUCUAAUAGACAUUUUAAUUCUGCACUUGUCCUUUGCUAAAGCUAUGCAAUCUGGGGCUUUAUGUAACCUCUCAGAGCACUAGUAUCUUCAGUUGUCCCAUGUGAAGAUUCAGAAUCUAUGAAACGUUCACUUAGUAAGUGAUCAGUAAGAACCUUCAUGGCUAUUCUCUCCCAGUGUUCUGUUCAUAGGAGGCUAAGGUGGGGCUCUGUCUACCCAGAUCUACUGAUUUCUUGAGUUCAGUAGUUGACCACUCCAUGGUAGUGGAGUGGAAACAGCUCUCUAAUGGGAAAGAAAGCCUCUGGUUCUGUUGUCAGCCUGCUUUCUACCAGCUGUGUGCCUCGGGCCGAUCCUUUAGCUUCUCUGAGCGUUAAUUUCCUUGUCUGUAAAAUAGAACUUAGAUUAUCUAUUUGAUGAAGAGGAACACUAUAAAGAGAAUUCUUGGAACCUAUUAGGAGCCAAGCACUUACAAAGUUCAGUUUGUGCUCUUGAACCUGGGUUGGCAGAUUGGAUAUAACUUAAAAGAAAAAUAAAAGAAUCUUCCCUAGCUAGGGAUUCCCAGAAGCAUGUUUGGAGGGCAUAAACAGAUAGAGGAUCAUGGCAAGUGAUGAUAAUGAUGUCAACAUUUUGUUUUUUCCUGGAAAAAUACCCUUUAGAUGACAAGUACGCUUUAAAUUUUGAAUCACGCUCAUCCUAAAAUCCUGCUAACACUGGCAGAUGAGAAAGAUGUGCAAGAAGAUGACUCUAUCCAUGACUUGGCUUUACUCUCUCGUCUUGUUUUUUGUUUUUUUUCUUUUUUCUACCACUGCAGUGGAGAAGAUUCAUACUUGAUCACCAUGCUGCAAUCCUGUUCCUGUUUGCUUCACAAAGAUUAUUUGAAAUUUAAAUAAUAUUUGUAUCUAUGGCCUACAGCAAUGAUCCUCAACUAUGCAUUGGAAUCAUGGGGUGGUGGGAGGAAGGUUAUAAUGCAGUUUCCUGGACCCCACAUUCCCACCCAUCCUGGAAUCUCCAGGAUGAUUAUACUGGUCUAAGGAUCACACUUUGUGAAGCAUUGGAUUUGAGAUGGCUUCUUGACAUUAAUUUAUGUUCUGAGACCAGAUCAAGAAGCAGAUGGAUAGAUGGAUAUUAUCAGUGUUUCCUUACAAUCAUAUUGGAGGAGGUCCUGGAGUAAUACUGUCCAAUAGAAAUAAAAUGUGAACCACAGAG